AACGAACGCUGGCGGCAUGCCUAACACAUGCAAGUCGAACGAGACCUUCGGGUCUAGUGGCGCACGGGUGCGUAACGCGUUGGAACCUGCCCUUAGGUUCGGAAUAACUCCCCGAAAGGGGUGCUAAUACCGGAUAAUGUCUUCGGACCAAAGAUUUAUCGCCUUUGGAUGGGCCCGCGUUGGAUUAGCUAGUUGGUAGGGUAAAAGCAUACCAAGGCGACGAUCCAUAGCUGGUCUGAGAGGAUGAUCAGCCACACUGGGACUGAGACACGGCCCAGACUCCUACGGGAGGCAGCAGUGGGGAAUAUUGGACAAUGGGCGAAAGCCUGAUCCAGCAAUGCCGCGUGAGUGAUGAAGGCCUUAGGGUUGUAAAGCUCUUUUACCCGGGAUGAUAAUGACAGUACCGGGAGAAUAAGCUCCGGCUAACUCCGUG
rnacentral:rRNA from 1 species